UGUAGGAUAGGUGGGAGGCUUUGAAGUGUGGACGCCAGUCUGCAUGGAGCCGACCUUGAAAUACCACCCUUUAAUGUUUGAUGUUCUAACGUGGACCCGUAAUCCGGGUUGCGGACAGUGUCUGGUGGGUAGUUUGACUGGGGCGGUCUCCUCCUAAAGAGUAACGGAGGAGCACGAAGGUUGGCUAAUCCUGGUCGGACAUCAGGAGGUUAGUGCAAUGGCAUAAGCCAGCUUGACUGCGAGCGUGACGGCGCGAGCAGGUGCGAAAGCAGGUCAUAGUGAUCCGGUGGUUCUGAAUGGAAGGGCCAUCGCUCAACGGAUAAAAGGUACUCCGGGGAUAACAGGCUGAUACCGCCCAAGAGUUCAUAUCGACGGCGGUGUUUGGCACCUCGAUGUCGGCUCAUCACAUCCUGGGGCUGAAGUAGGUCCCAAGGGUAUGGCUGUUCGCCAUUUAAAGUGGUACGCGAGCUGGGUUUAGAACGUCGUGAGACAGUUCGGUCCCUAUCUGCCGUGGGCGCUGGAGAACUGAGGGGGGCUGCUCCUAGUACGAGAGGACCGGAGUGGACGCAUCACUGGUGUUCGGGUUGUCAUGCCAAUGGCACUGCCCGGUAGCUAAAUGCGGAAGAGAUAAGUGCUGAAAGCAUCUAAGCACGAAACUUGCCCCGA
rnacentral:rRNA from 1 species